AAAAAAAAAAAAAGAAAAAAGGGACAACACACCUACAUGCUGUUUAUCCCUUAACAAGGGAGGGAUCCCUGAACUUUAACAUCUGUAAUGAGCAACUGGAAAUUGCAGAUUCUCAGUACCGACCAAAGAAUACAUUUAAACCUAAUCGAUUGAAACUAGUAUUCCAAUAUACUAUCUUACAGUGAAAGGUGGGCUACCCACGUUACACCAUAUUAAUGUACAAAACUAAAUCUCUCUCACACACGCAUGUAGACACACACAUUUCUUCGUUAGAAAAUUUGACUCUCCUGUUGCUUCUACAAUAAAAACUUGUUGGUCAGUGGCUUCAAACCAAAGCCUUGGAGAAUAAGUGCUUUCCAAUCACCUGUAGUUUAAAGGUAAGCACUUGCAGUAGCUCAGACUCUAGUCAUCUUUUGCCUUAUAGUUUCAUGAACCAUCUCCAAAAACCUCGUCGAUCAUACUGCAAGUAGGCAAAAAGUCAACUUUACUUUUUGGGCAUAUCAUAUAACCAGAAUCCCAAACUUUGACAUCAAAAGGUUCUAAAACAUGAUCCCCGCCACUUCCACAGCUUAAUUCAUUAAAACUACAUGUCCAAUGCUCAUCACUUUCAACCUUCACCUCGGCCCCUUGUGAAUAAACGCCUGUAUCGGAAGAUAUGCAUGAGUCAUCUUGGACUUCUUGAUCAACCUUUUUAUCAGAGGGAAGUUCAUCCAGGAGAUGAGAGUUGGAAUCACAAUUAUCAAGAGAUAUCCUAGGGCAUGUUUCUAAAAAGUUGGUGUUGUCUCUAUCCCAAGCAAAAUAAGAAUUUUCAUCAACAGCAUCAUGUAAAUCAUCUUUCAAGUUCUGGUUAUGAGUACAAACAUCUUGACGUACAGGAGACUCAAUAACUGAGUCUUCAUCUUCCUCUGUCAUUCCAAAUUCAUUGUUAUUAUAAUCAUCACCCCCCAGCCACUCAUCAUCAUCACUGUCAAUGUUCACUGAGUCAUAUCUGUUCUGUUCAGCUCGCCUUCGAAGCAUAAAGACAUUAAAGUAGUAGCAGACAAUAUCCUUUUUGGAUCGUGAAGGGAAGACAGCAGAAAGAUGGUCCCAAAAGUUUUUGCCCAAUGACUUAGGACUUGAAAAUACAACCUCAUUGUAUAAUUGUUCUUCCUCCUCACUCCACUUAUCAGCCACUUCCUCUCCCAUGUCAUAGAACCCCAUCUCCUCAAAUCUCUCCCCCCCAAGGAGUCUCUUAAGUUCCUCUCUUGAUUCAACAAUGUGCUGUCUGACACAUCUGAUAGAACCCUCAUCCAGGCAAUUGCAGUCAAUCCUAACAUUUCCAAACCCAUCAGUAAGUUCCAAAUCAGGCAUUGGAAUGACACAAGUCCCCAUCAGUCUAUUCACAUUUUCCUCCCUAACAACAACGUUAGAAUCCAGAGUUGCUACAGGUGCUCCAGAAGAAUUUGGUUUAGUCUCACUAUAAUGACUCCAUUCUGGAAUAUCAGCUUGAUGAUUCAAUCCAAUUGGAACUGCUUUUCGUGGAGGAUAAUGCAAAAGCAAAGAAUAUACAUCCUCAUGGUGAGCUGCUGUCUUUAUUGGAUGCUCAGGACUAAAAUAUUCUUUGGGACAAGAUAUGUACACUGGCAUGUCAAGAAAGGAAGACUCUUGGCAAGCACUGAUGGUAGCAAAGGAAGAGAUGCUUCUUCCACGAACAAUGGUCUCUACAUCGUUCUCUGUACUAACUGGGAAUCUAGCAAUUAUAUCACUUGCAAGCCUCUCAUGGCCUUCAGUAGCAUUUUCAGUGAGUCCACACUCACCUUCACCAAAUAAUAAUAAAUUAACCUGGAACUUGAGGUGUCGUCAAAGCUACCUCCAGAGGAACAAAAUCUGAAAAUGAAACUAGCCGAUUAUUGUAUUCCACUUUUCUUGGGUGCUUGCAAGCAAUGCUGUAUGGUUCCUCAUUAAAAGAUCGCUUUUGUACCAUGCUUAACUGCAUUCGAAAAGGUCAAAUAACUUGAUGAAUGCAUAGAACAAGAAGGACAAAGCCAUAACCAUAAAUAGCACCAAGAAGAAAGCAACAACCUGAGAUUCAUGGUGCGCACAAAGAACAACAAAGGAAAAAGAAACACAUAUCUAAUGACACAGCAAUAUAAUUUAUUACUAUUGUUCAACUAACUGACACAUUGAAGAAACUGUCAACAAUUCAUCAGCUUGCUCAUAACUAUCCUGAAAAUGCCAUCUCAUCUCUCGCAGCAAUAUUAUCGGUUAUGAUACAUUCAAUUUACUAAAAAUUCAACUCUUCCUGGCUUUUGAACGACAUAAGAUGGUAUGAGCCAGAAUUUACCAUAAUGUUAAGCAUAUAAAGUAAUAUUUGCAUAAAUUCAACUAGGAACUUGCAGGAUUGUCUUCCAUGAGCAUGCCAUUGAAUGCUCAACUUAAUCUAACAGUUUCCAUACCCUAUCCCAAUCACAUUGCAAUACUUAAGGAAUAGUGUCUAUGGGAAUCAGUGUAGACUAUAGAGCAUGCUGCAGAAGCUAACUUCCAAUAUGUAACAUCCAUUUACAAUCACAUCAAGCAUGAAAGGAAAAGUGACUCUCAAGCAUAUCACUAAUAAAAACAUAAAAUGU
rnacentral:misc_RNA from 1 species